rnacentral:rRNA from 1 species
AGUGAACGCUGGCGGUAGGCCUAACACAUGCAAGUCGAACGGCAGCACAGUAAGAGCUUGCUCUUACGGGUGGCGAGUGGCGGACGGGUGAGGAAUACAUCGGAAUCUACUUUUUCGUGGGGGAUAAUGUAGGGAGACUUACGCUAAUACCGCAUACGACCUACGGGUGAAAGCAGGGGAUCUUCGGACCUUGCGCGAUUGAAUGAGCCGAUGUCGGAUUAGCUAGUUGGCGGGGUAAAGGCCCACCAAGGCGACGAUCCGUAGCUGGUCUGAGAGGAUGAUCAGCCACACUGGAACUGAGACACGGUCCAGACUCCUACGGGAGGCGGCAGUGGGGAAUAUUGGACAAUGGGCGCAAGCCUGAUCCAGCCAUACCGCGUGGGUGAAGAAGGCCUUCGGGUUGUAAAGCCCUUUUGUUGGGAAAGAAAAGCAGCAGGUUAAUACCCCGCUGUUCUGACGGUACCCAAAGAAUAAGCACCGGCUAACUUCGUG